ensembl:lncRNA
CAAAAAGCAAGUUCCCGGGAUUCAGUCUGUAGUCUGAGUGGGCUGGCGUGUUCUCGCUGGGCUAUUUCUGUACAAAAAGCUGUCUGGAACCAUCUGAGAAUCACUAACCGCUGCGGUUUACGCUGCCUGUCCGAGGUCAGUCCCACCUGUUCCGUGGGACAAAGCAUCUCAGCAGCGCCCUAUCCAGUUCCUGAAAAGAUGCCCACCUGUCUGCUAGUCAUACUGGGGAAAACGUCGCAAGGAAGCCCCUCAGUCUCCUGGCUAGAUAGUGAUCACCAAAGGCUUUCCUGCAGGAGAACAGACUAAUGAUGAAGCAAAGAAGCGUGUUUGUGUUGGAGAUACUUCCUACUUGAGUUUUCUUAAUGAAAAGGAACCUAAGAAAGAAAUCCUCCUUUUGGACAAAAGAGUGUAAGUGUUCCGCUGAGAGCUUUCACUGGCUGCCCGAGCACUUUUCAUUUGAAUGUCUGGAAGCCAGGGAGCUACUGCCUGCAGGGAGCAACCAAUGAUGAUUGCAAAUGGGUAGAGAAAU